CACCCACAGGUGAGUUCCCCUCAGAGGCACGCAGCUUGACUGUCAGAGGAUUUGAAGGCAGCUCAAGAUAGUGGAAGGUUUAGUUGGCAUCAUGGAGACAGCCCCAACCCCAACCACUGAAUCCACAGUCAUGAAGUUUCAGGAACCCAGUGGCUAUAUGUCUAUGUGUCUCUGAGACAGCACCAUCUCUGAGAAAAGAACACCUGGGAUUCAAAGUCAACUCUAUGAUGUGUGUGACCUUGCUGAAGUCCAAGCACACCACGCAGGACCCUGCAAUUCCAGUGAUGGCUGAGAAUUCAG
rnacentral:lncRNA from 1 species